CCCCCUUCCUGCUGCUGGAGCCGCCCCGCACCCGCUCCCGGUCCCGCUCCGGCUUCCUCACCCUCGCCAUGAGCGGGGCCGCCGCGCACUUCCAGCCGCCGCCGCCCCUCCACGGGCCGAGCCUCCCGGAGCAGGGAGCCCGCAGCCAGGGCAGAGGCAGCCCCGCCGGCCACGGGCACCCCCGGGCCGCCCCCGCGCCAGGUAGUACUGGUGCUUCCUUCCAAUGCCAGUCAAUCCAUCAAGACCACAUUUGUAAUGAUGACAGUGACAAGAGUGAAGAUAGUCCGAGUCCUAAGAGACAACGCCUUUCUCAUUCAGUCUUUGACUAUACAGCAGCAUCACCAGCCCCAUCACCACCAAUGCGACCAUGGGAGAUGACAUCAAAUAGGCAGCCUCCUUCAGCUCGACCCAACCAACAUCACUUCUCAGGGGAACGAUGCAACACACCUGCACGCAACAGGAGGAGUCCUCCUGUUAGACGCCAGAGAGCGAGAAGGGAUCGCCUGUCUCGACACAAUUCCAUUAGUCAAGACGAAAACUAUCACCAUCUCCCCUACGGACAGCAACAAGCAAUAGAAGAGCCCCGAGCCUUCCACCCACCGAAUGUAUCCCCCCGUAUGUUGCACCCAGCCGCUCAUCCGCCACAGCAGAAUGCAGUGAUGGUCGACAUUCAUGAACAGAUCCACCAGGGCACAGUCCCUGUCUCAUACACAGUAACAACGGUGGCACCACAUGGGAUUCCGCUCUGCACAGGCCAGCACAUACCAGCUUGUAACACACAGCAGGUCCCAGGAUGUUCUGUGGUUUUCAGUGGACAGCACCUUCCCGUCUGCAGUGUGCCUCCUCCAAUGCUUCAGGCAUGCUCAGUCCAACACUUACCAGUACCAUACGCAGCAUUCCCACCCCUUAUUUCUAGUGAUCCGUUUCUUUUGCAUCCUCCUCACCUCUCUCCGCACCAUCCUCCUCACCUGCCACCGCCAGGCCAGUUCGUUCCCUUCCAAACACAACAGUCACGGUCGCCACUUCAAAGGAUAGAGAACGAAGUAGAACUUCUUGGAGAACACCUUCCGGUAGGAGGUUUUACCUACCCUCCCUCAGCCCAUCCACCAACAUUGACUCCCUCAGCCCCUCUCCAGUUCUUAACGCACGACCCUUUACACCAGGAGGUGUCCUUUGGAGUACCUUAUCCACCCUUUAUGCCUCGAAGACUCACAGGGCGCAGUAGAUACCGAUCCCAGCAGCCAAUACCACCACCCCCUUAUCAUCCCAGCCUGUUACCAUAUGUGCUAUCAAUGCUUCCAGUGCCACCUGCAGUUGGACCAGCUUUCAGCUUCGAGUUGGAUGUGGAAGAUGGAGAGGUGGAAAACUAUGAGGCGCUGUUGAAUUUGGCAGAACGAUUGGGAGAAGCCAAACCACGAGGACUGACAAAGGCAGACAUAGAACAGCUUCCAUCUUACAGGUUCAAUCCAAACAACCACCAGUCAGAACAGACUUUGUGCGUAGUAUGCAUGUGUGAUUUUGAGUCAAGGCAGCUACUUAGAGUCUUACCUUGUAACCACGAGUUCCAUGCCAAGUGUGUCGAUAAAUGGCUUAAGGCUACAAAAGCCAACAGACUGAAAGUGCUGCCUCCUUUUCCAAUAGCAUUAUUUUCUAGUAGUUGAUGAAGGGAGAUUAUGUGAAAUCUAUAUCAAAACUAGUGUCAUUAAAAAACUGACAUGAAGAGAAUUAUCUUGACCAACAAAUGUAGUUCAUUUUCAGUUGGACAUAACCAUGCCUGUAUUAAUAUAAUUUUAUGAUAAAGUAGGAAAGUUCAAAGUAGAGUAUGAGAUUUGUGAGUGGUCUGAAUACUGCUUAUGUCUCUUGCUUAAGCAGGAAUUGAUAUUAACUGAAAGUGAAACUAUCAGAAAUCUUUCUAGCUCUUUUAUAUAAAUGUAAAGUCUGGGGGCGGGGAGAAAAAUAUAUAACUGGUCAAAUUUCUCACAAAAUUAAGGCUUUACACAUGAAAUAAGAUAUAUAUCUUUCAAAACAAGUUAUUUUAAAAAAUAUGAAGACCCUAAAAUCAGGACAACACGAUAAGAUCAGAGAUUAGGACAACACCAUACAGAAGGUGAAAAGUGCAGGGUACAAUUAGUUAGGUAGAAGAUGAUAUACAGAGACAGAUCUCUGCAAGCUGCAUUAUCCAGACCUACUGCCAGCAAGGCAAAUCGUACCUGCCCAAUUUGUAGAGCUGAUGCUUCAGAAGUGCAUCGUGAUUCAGAAUGACCAAUCUAAGAGCACAAUUCUAGUUUGGGUGUUCCUAGUCACAUGUAUAGACGAACUAUCCAUUGAACUUACCCGUGUGGCUGCCAGCCUUCCCUUUUCACAAAAGGGUCAAUGGACCUUUUUUUGCACUGUGUGAUUUAAUCAAUUAUAAAGCUUAUAAUUAGUCUUCACAAUUAUGGGAUUGUUAUACUAACCGUGUGAUUGGAACUCCAAAGAUUUUAUUUUCUUUAGCUUAAUUUUGUGUGUGCACUAACAUUCCCUGGUUUUUGUGUGAUCAUUCCAAGUGUUGCUGCGAGAUUACAGUGGACGUGAUCUUUUAGCAUGUGCUUUUAUAAAAAGUGGUAGCUCCAAACAAUAUAGCAAUCUACCUUAUAUAGAGCCUUCAGAUACUGUGAGUGGGAGCGAAUGGUGUGGGUGGGAGUAUGUAUGCGCACACCAGAGUUUGUGUGGGGUGUGCUAGCGAGUGUGUGCAUAUGUCUGAGAACCUAUAUACCAGCAUGUACUGAGAACGUAUGUGAGUAGUAUUAAUUAUGCUGCAAUGUAUAAUCUUGUGUGUUAUUUAAACAGUACUAGUACUGUACACUGGUUUCUUUCCUUGUGUUUGCAGUUGCACACUGAAUGCUAAGGGUGCAGCAAUUAUAGGCAUUUAAUAUUUCCUCCCCAAUGUACUUAAUGGUAUAAAAAGACCUUUUAACUUUUAUUCAGACAACUGUUAUUGCUUCCCCUUCACUGGCGGUUGUAAAUGUACCACUAAAGAGUGCAUUGAUUGCGCAAUACAUGAUUAAUCUUGUUUUUAGCUCAUGUCAUAAAAUCCAAAUUUUACAUUUGCUGAUUUACUGCUAAUUUAUCAAUAGUUGCAGUAUCGCACAAAAUCAGUUAGCAAUAUUAACAUUGUCAGUUGAUCGUUUGAAUGUUGAUGCGUUUCCGUUUUCCUUUUUAAUUCCUCUAGCCAGUUUGAAUUAUGUUCAGUUGAUUUCAGAACACAGGUCAGUUCUGAAGAUGCUGAAGUAACAUAUUCCUCCCCAUACACAGAAGCUGAAAGGACAUUCAGAGUCUUGUGCAACAGCUCCUCACAUUGUUGGCCAUUGUACUUGCUAAGUACAUAAUCAUUUAGCUUAUAAACUUUUGGCUUUAAAUCAUUUAUGUUCUUUUUCAUGUAUAAGGGAGUUUGUGUAAGUGGAAGAGAGGCUACCUUUUUAGUCCUGCAGCUUUAUGAACAAAAUAUAAUUCUUAGCAUUUUCUCAGAGUGGAAGAAUUUCUAUCUUUGUCCUUGUACCACAGCAAGUUUUUUGUGGUCAUUCACUGCCUGGUUCAGAUGGCAUAGGAUGCUGCUUCUUCCCUUCCCUACUAGGUAGUGAGCUUUUGCAUGAAUAAAAAACUCCCUUGGUUUUUCGGUUAGUAGCCAGAAUAGUCCCAUUAAGAGAAGAGUGUGUUAGAACACCAUCAGGAACAAAGAAUGCUGGGAAACAGGAGUUAACCUCCAUUCAGCUGCCCUGCAAAUGUUCGAGCUGGAUUGAAAAAUUGGCUUUGUUUAACAUUCCAGACUGUUAAAGGUUUUAAAAUUUGUUCUUCAGUCAAAUAUUUAGGUCUACUACGUAUGCCAUCGUUAUUGAAGAGAUGCACUGUUUUGCAUCACUGUGCUUUCUCCUACAUGUCGUGUCAUUACUUUGGUUGCAAUAGCACAAGUGGCACAAUUAGCAAUAUUGCUGGAACUUGCUGCCAGUCUCAGCUUUUAAGUUUCUGUGUCAUUUCUGAUGCUUCUGUGUGCUGCUACGCUUUAGUAUCAGUUAUCUUUUCAGACAGUGUUACAUGUUCUCCAUGCUGCUUGCCCUUCGUUGAAGGCUCUACAGACCAAUCCCAGCUUGUGUUCAGUAAAACAAAAUGAAAGCACAAUUUUGCCCAUGUUUCAGAUGCUAUUGCCUCUGUUUAGUUACACAAGUAGAACGAAAAACUUGCUUGUCUGUCCAUAUGUCAGUACCUAACACUAAGUCUAUCAAAAUUAUUACAAAAUAUACAGUGUACAACAACUUUAAAAUGUUCGUUUUCCCCUGGACAUGCUAAGGAAUGGAACUGUCACAACAUGUCACCAAACAAGUUAAAUCACAUAUAGUAAACUUUAUUUUUUUAACGAAUGAAAUCAUGUGUUUAAAAAGAAGUGUAUGCCACACAUCUUAUAAUACUUAAGGUCUUUUAUAUAGCUGCAAAAAAAUUUCUACCUGUACAGAUCUAACCAUAACAAACACUACUACACUCAGUAUUCACUUCGUUGACGCAUGGAAAUAAGGCACUUUUCUAAGUUAGAUAGAAAUGCAUAAUUAACAAGGCAUAUUUUACUAAUAUUGAGGUGAAGUAGUCCUCUUUCCUGAACUGGAGACAUCUUGAUAUGUAAUGGCCCUCUUUCCCAGUAAAGUUCCGUGACGCAAGUGGAGAUCUAGGAGGCAGUAGGGUCUCAUUUGGUAAAAUACUGAAUUUCAUUGUUGCACUCCUGUGGCUGGUCUCUUCUGGAAUGUUUCUUUCGUUUGCAUGGGACUCUUGCAGAUGUGUGCAGACUUGCUUCCUGUGGUUAGUGUGUAUAAAAAGCACACAUGCAUGUGUUCUGAACCAGCUCAGACUGGCGACAACAGACUUCAUUGUUGUGGCUGCCAUGUCAAAAGAGGAGGGGAAGGGGAUUCAUGCUCAGCCUUUACUGCCAUGUGUUAUGCACAUUUGUCUAAUUCCACAGCCUGCAGUGGUGCCAGGCAGCACCAGAAUCCAGUAAAAGGUUUAUGUUGGUUACCUUCCUCCCCCCCCCCCCCCCAUUUCCCACCUCCCUUCUAAAAACAACAAACUGUUGGCUUUACCAUGUUGGCACUGCUGUGUUUUUUGCAUGAAUUGUCAACUUAAUUUGACUUUGUUCUGGUUUUUAAUGGAUACCAAGGCCUACAGAUCUCUCCAAGGUCUAAUUUUGUGGGGUUUCUUUACAGAAAGUUUUAUGUGCAAAGUAAUUUUUUUUGUUGUAUACAGUUUUUGUAGUCUCUUGAAUGUGAUUUUCUCAGCUGUUAACAUUACACUUUUUGUAAUACUUGGAAUGGUGGGAUCUACCAAUGUGUUGGGUUUUUUUAAACUUACUGAAAAUGCAUUUUUGACUGAGUUAUCUUUAGGCCUUAAUAAAAGAGCUGUGUUUUUCCCCCCUUUGGUACAUUCAGUUACCUCAUUUUGCUAUUUGUGUUUCAGAUUUGCUAAUGAUUAUGAAAGCUUAUGGGUUUUGUUGGAAUCAUAUUUUGUCGAGUGUUUUCUUUAAAUCAUACUCUAUUGUAUCAGUUAACAUGUAGUUUUAAAUGUAUUAUAAAUAUCUGUAACCAAAUCAUUUGAAGGCUUGAUAAAUUUUUAACAAAAUUUGUACAUUUUUUAUGAGAGUUACUAGUAAUGCUUUACUAAGUAGUGCAAUGAAUUUUUAUUUUUAAUCCCUGUGCCCAAUUUUGGAGUUGAGAGAGUUGUUCAGUAAUAAAUGUAUGAUGUACACUUA